rnacentral:rRNA from 1 species
CUCGUAGGCGGCCUGCCAAGUCCCACGUGAAAGACCAGGGCUCAACCCUGGGGACGCGAGGGAAACUGGUAAGCUGGAAUCUUGGAGGGGGUACUGGAAUUCCUGGUGUAGGGGUGAAAUCUGUUGAUAUCAGGAAGAACACCGGAGGCGAAGGCGAGUACCUGGCCAAAGAUUGACGCUGAUGAGCGAAAGCGUAGGGAGCGAAUA